GUCGAGCGGAAAGGCCCCUUCGGGGGUACUCGAGCGGCGAACGGGUGAGUAACACGUGAGCAACCUGCCCCUGACUUUGGGAUAAGCCUGGGAAACUGGGUCUAAUACCGGAUACGACCAUCUUGGGCAUCUGGGGUGGUGGAAAGUUUUUCGGUUGGGGAUGGGCUCGCGGCCUAUCAGCUUGUUGGUGGGGUGAUGGCCUACCAAGGCUUCGACGGGUAACCGGCCUGAGAGGGCGACCGGUCACACUGGGACUGAGACACGGCCCAGACUCCUACGGGAGGCAGCAGUGGGGAAUAUUGCGCAAUGGGCGGAAGCCUGACGCAGCGACGCCGCGUGGGGGAUGACGGCCUUCGGGUUGUAAACCUCUUUCAGCAGGGACGAAGCUUAAGUGACGGUACCUGUAGAAGAAGCGCCGGCUAACUACGUGCCAGCAGCCGGGGUAAUUCC
rnacentral:rRNA from 1 species